rnacentral:tRNA from 1 species
AGCAGGUAGUAUUGUUGGAGGUAUGAAAAAUUUUGGGUUUUUCGGAGUUGGUUCGACUCCUUCCCUGUUAA